AGAAUGCCGUGGGUAUCCCUCUGCCCGCGAGCGGAGAUCGGGCCGCCUAAUCGAGAGGCGCCCGAAGCCUGAUUUCCCCCAGCCCCUACCGCACAGAAAUGCCGAGCCCUUCACACCCCCGCCCAGCCCCGCCUCCUGCGUGCGGCCGGGCCAAGCCGCUCAAGCUGCUGUUUAAACGUCGCUCAUGAGGGGAGGCGGGGUCAGGGGGCGCCCCGGAGCAGCUGGGGGGGGGGUUGGCGCCGGCCUUAUUGAAUUUGUGGGACGGGCGCGCGCUAACCCCGGCGCCGUCUCCGGGUGUGGCGGGGCUCGAGAUGUCUCCCGCUCGGACUCUCCGCAGGAGCUGCGGCCAUGGGGGCUGCCCAAAAACUAGGUACCAUUUGGGGGCCGUUUACCAGAAUCGCCCAUCCCUUGUGACACCGUGUGCGGCACAAACUGCAAAACCAACGAUGGGAGCCCCCGCCGUACUUGAUGGGCAGCGCCGUGCGCGGCCCCAAUCGGGAUGGAUCUGGGGAGGUGUUUUCUGCCGCAGCGCCCCCCCGCCCCCCCCCCGCGCUCCGAAACACCUGGUCCACGGCUGACGGGAGGGUGUGUUUGUGCUGGCACCCCCGAGCAGGCUGAAACGGGAACUACUAGGGGCUGUAGUGCUGGGCUAGUGACUAAUGUUCCCUCUGCCUUGCCCCUUGUGCGUGCGAUGGGUGUAAAACAACAGUCGUGCGAUUUGUCAUCGUUUCUCAUGGCCACCCUGAGCUGGUGCGUUUCCAGUUUUAUUUGGAAGGGCCCCGUCUCCAAGGUGGCCCUUGCUAUCAGCGGAGGAUGGGACUGAGAGCACAGCACGACCUAAGCUCAGAGCAACAGUGGAGAUGGCAGGGCUGCUGACCAUCUUCUGGCAUUGGGCUCCCUGGAGAGAAACUCUGCAGCAAGUCUUGUGGGGCCUCAGAUUGCCGAGCAGGGGGGUGAAUGGAUUUCUCAAGCUUUUGGAGCUGAUGAACCUUGGGGGGAUUAUGAAACAUUCCAUAAUGUGUCCAGACCGCCAAUAAACAUAACCAGGACUACAUAAACUGUGAUCUGCAAGAGCAUUUACACCAAUUACAAAGCCAUUGAGAAAUCAGAGCACAAGAAGCUGUUUAAGGCUGACUGGAUACGUAUGGCAUCACAGAAACUUGGUGGGGUAAGUCACAUGAUUGGAAUAUCGGUAUAGAAGGGUACAGCUUCUUCAGGAAGCACAGGCAGAGAAAAAAGCAUGGAUGUGUUGCCUUGUAUAUCAAAGAUGAUAGUAGGACCUGUUGAAAGUCUCUGGGUAAGGAUAAAAUGGGGAAGAAGAAGAAAAAGGGUGAUGUCAUAUAGGAGUCUACUGUAGACCUCCUGACCAGGAAGAAGAGGUGGAUGAGACUUUUUUUUUUUUUUUUAAUACAACUAACAAAAUCAUCCAAAACCCAGGACUUGGUGGUGAGGGGGGACUUCAUCUACCCAGACAUCUGUUGGGAAAAUAAUACAUCAGGACACAGAUUAUCCAACAAGUUCUUGGAAUGUGUUGUAGAUUAUUUUUUAUUACAAAAGGUAGAGAAAGCAAUUAGGGGAGAUGUGCUCUUGAUUAGGUUCUGACAAAUAGAGGAACUAGAUAAGAUUCUGAAGGUGGAAGGCAGGUUGGGUGAAAGUGAUCAUGAAAUGAUAGAGUUCAUGAUUCCAAGGCAGUGGUUUUCAAACUUUUUUUCUGGGGACCCAGUUGAAGAAAAUUGUUGA